GGCGGGACUCUGGGCUGUUACUGACGCUGAGGAGCGAAAGCAUGGGGAGCGAACAGGAUUAGAUACCCUGGUAGUCCAUGCCGUAAACGUUGGGCACUAGGUGUGGGGCUCAGUUCCUACGAGUUCCGCGCCGCAGCUAACGCAUUAAGUGCCCCGCCUGGGGAGUACGGCCGCAAGGCUAAAACUCAAAGGAAUUGACGGGGGCCCGCACAAGCGGCGGAGCAUGCGGAUUAAUUCGAUGCAACGCGAAGAACCUUACCAAGGCUUGACAUACACCGGAAUGUGCCAGAGAUGGUUCAGCCCUUUGGGCUGGUGUACAGGUGGUGCAUGGUUGUCGUCAGCUCGUGUCGUGAGAUGUUGGGUUAAGUCCC
rnacentral:rRNA from 1 species